CCGUAGCCCAAGAGAUCGGGAUAACACCUGGAAACAGAUGCUAAUACCGGAUAACAACAGAUGAUGCCUAUCAACUGUUUAAAAGAUGGUUCUGCUAUCACUCUUGGAUGGACCUGCGGUGCAUUAGCUAGUUGGUAGGGUAACGGCCUGCCAAGGCGAUGAUGCAUAGCCGAGUCGAGAGACUGAUCGGCCACAUUGGGACUGAGACACGGCCCAAACUCCUACGGGAGGCAGCAGUC
rnacentral:rRNA from 1 species